ensembl:lncRNA RFPL3S RFPL3 antisense
CCGCAACCUCCACCUCCCGGGUUCAAGCGAUUCUCCUGCCUCAGCCUCCUGAGUAGCUGGGAUUACAGGUACAACCACAGGGCUCCCCAUGAGGUGAUGUCAUCGAAUUUUCCUGGCUGAAGAGUCGUCCUUUGUGUACACACAUGGGAGUUUAUUUUUUCAUCUGCAUAUGGACGCAUUCCUGAGACUUCAGAAACAUUCUAUGGAGAAUUGAGAAGAGAGUAUUUUUUGAGCCAGAAAGUGCUUUCCUGUGAAGUUUGUAUAUAUUCUGGUCUUUCUUAUGGGGAACCUGAGUUCCUGCAUUAAAGUUCCCCCAGAAGAUCAAUGGAAGGUGGAUUCCAAAGAGUGGGCAAGUGAGGACCCCUUCUCUGUUACCAAGGUGACCCCAAGGAACACAGUAAAUGAAAUUUUAAGAAGAUAUAGCCUCUACACCAAGAGGCACAUGACACAACCUGGACUCUGGGCAAACCACCGGGUGCACUCACAUGA